rfam:Pteropus alecto contig43635, whole genome shotgun sequence.
GUCUAUGGCCAUGCUACCCUGAACAAGCUCGAUCUCAUCUGAUCUCGGAAGCUAAGCAGGGUCGGGCCUGGUUAGUACUUGGAUGGGAGACCACCUAGGAAGACCAGGUGCUACAGGCA